CCUACGGGUGACAGCAGUGAGGAAUAUUGGUCAAUGGGCGGAAGCCUGAACCAGCCAAGUAGCGUGCAGGAUGACGGCCCUACGGGUUGUAAACUGCUUUUAUACGGGAAUAACGCGCCUUACGUGUAGGGCUUUGCAUGUACCGUAUGAAUAAGGACCGGCUAAUUCCGUGCCAGCAGCCGCGGUAAUACGGAAGGUCCGGGCGUUAUCCGGAUUUAUUGGGUUUAAAGGGAGCGUAGGCCGCAUGUCAAGCGUGCUGUGAAAUGUCCGGGCUCAACCCGGGCCUUGCAGCGCGAACUGGCGUGCUUGAGUCCGCGGAAAGCAGGCGGAAUUCGUCGUGUAGCGGUGAAAUGCUUAGAUAUGACGAAGAACCCCGAUUGCGAAGGCAGCUUGCUGCAGCGGAACUGACGCUGAGGCACGAAAGCGUGGGGAUCGAACAGGAUUAGAUACCCGUGUAGUC
rnacentral:rRNA from 1 species